rnacentral:rRNA from 1 species
GUAGGGACCAAGCGUUGUUCGGAUUUACUGGGCGUAAAGGGCGCGUAGGCGGCGCGGUAAGUCACUUGUGAAAUCUCUGAGCUUAACUCAGAACGGCCAAGUGAUACUGCAGUGCUAGAGUGUGGAAGGGGCAAUCGGAAUUCUUGGUGUAGCGGUGAAACGCGUAGAUAUCAAGAGGAACACCUGAGGUGAAGACGGGUUGCUGGGCCAACACUGACGCUGAGGCGCGAAAGCCAGGGGAGCAAACGGGAUUAGAUACCCCGGUAGUCCUGGCCCUAAACGAUGAAUACUUGGUGUCUGGAGUUUUAAUGCUCCGGGUGCCGUCGCUAACGUUUUUAGUAUUCCGCCUGGGGAGUACGCUCGCAAGAGUG